rnacentral:rRNA from 1 species
GUACGGGAGGCAGUGGGGAAUUUUGGACAAUGGGCGCAAGCCUGAUCCAGCCAUGCCGCGUGAGUGAAGAAGGCCUUCGGGUUGUAAAGCUCUUUCGGCGGGGAAGAAAUGGUUUCGGUUAAUACCCGGAGCUGAUGACGGUACCCGCAUAAGAAGCACCGGCUAACUACGUGCCAGCAGCCGCGGUAAUACGUAGGGUGCGAGCGUUAAUCGGAAUUACUGGGCGUAAAGCGUGCGCAGGCGGUUUUGUAAGUCAGAUGUGAAAUCCCCGGGCUCAACCUGGGAACUGCAUUUGAGACUGCAAGGCUAGAGUGUAGCAGAGGGGGGUAGAGUUCCACGUGUAGCAGUGAAAUGCGUAGAGAUGUGGUGGAAUACCGAUGGCGAAGGCAGCCCCCUGGGUUACUACUGACGCUCAUGCACGAAAGCGUGGGGAGCAAACAGGAUUAGAUACCCCCGUAGUCCG